AAAGCUGGAACUCAUGGAUUUCCCUGGCUGAUUGGAGCAUCACUGCUGCCAGCAAAGCCCAAGGUGUGAGCUCUACAUUAUGCUGAGAUGGCUAUGUACAAGUAUAUCCAGAAUGACGGUGGAUACGUUGAAAGUCCAAUCAACUGUGCUAAAUCUUGAAUCAGUUCUCUCUGUUGCCUUUUGCAGGUUGUUUAAGUUUUGUAUAGAAGUGGAUAUUUUGAACAUUGAAACUGCACAAGGGCUUUAUGGUUGCUCUGCUCACCUCUAUUUCUUCUUCUCCUGCUAGGAAACCCCAUUAUCCUCAGAACAAGUCUCUCCACCUCCUGCUCUUGCCUGAUGCUGUAUGGCUCUGAUGGCUUGUCCUGUGUCCCCUUAGCCCAGGUGCUAAGUGGUCUCUGUUCCCUUAAAAUAACUGUUUUGGGAUGUUAUGGGUCCUGUUUUAAAAAUCCCCUCAUCCCUCUUCUUUUCUCUCUUCUAAAGGGCAGCCUUACCAUCUCCUUUUAAGAACAGAAGUCUUUUCUUUCUGCCUCUUAAAGUCAGUAGCUGGUUUGUCACCCAAUAACAAAAGCCCACAAUAUCCUGACCUCAAAGACUAGGAAGGUAGGUGGUGCUAAGGUCAGGGAUUGGGAGUCUUAGAGAGCCAGCAACACAGUGUCAUCUCUCUGAAAAGUAAAUUUCCAGUAGCUAGCAAGAGAUUUA
rnacentral:lncRNA from 1 species